rnacentral:lncRNA from 1 species
CGGCAAUGCAGAUCCUUAACCCACUAGGGGCCAGGGAUCGAACCCCCAUCCUCAUGGAUCCUAGUCGGGUUUGUUAACCACUGAGCCAUGAAGGGAACUCCAAAUUAUCUUCUUAAUUGUAGAGAAUUUCCGGGGGGGGGGGGAACCUGAAAAAAGGCUAAACCAUGGCUUUGAUGAGUCUCAAGGACCACAGAUCCAUCACGUCCUAUUAGAAGACUUAGCCCCCCUGGAGAGUUCUAGCCUUCACAGGACACUCGAUAACAAGACCCCACAGGGCUCCACACAACUGCACCAAGAAUACCUCCACCGCUGCCCGUGGCUGAUUCUUUGGACCACGCGGUCCUGCUGGCACACAGGGCAACUCUUCUGGUGCACCCAGAGACAUGCAGCAGUUGUGGAAGGAAUGGUUACAUUCCACCACCACCACCCCCCCCCCCCCCCCCCCCCCCGCCACCACAACACAAUCCUCCCGUUUUCGGCUUAACAUCUAAGCCAGGCAUCCCUCACCUGGACCCUGCAGACGGCGGCGCACGUGUCGCCCUCCACGUCCCAGCUCCACGUGGCCACCGCGUUCCACGUCUCGGAGGGAACAUUUUGCCGCCUCCCGACGCGGUCCCUGCGCUCCCUCCGACGGGACGCGGAGCUCCUGGGCGUCUUCCACGUCGCCCUCGGAGGCUGCGGAGGCUGCGCGAUGCCGGCAACGGAGACGUGAGGUCGCAGGAGGCGGGCGACUACGGCGGCUCCCUGGGGCCGCCCGACCAGCCAAAGCGCUGCCGGCAGACUGCAGGCCACCGUGGGGCCCACGAUGCCCCCCCGACCACACACACACUCCAAAGAUUAUUAUUUCCUCUCCCUGUUCCCGUAAGAGUAGACUGACAUUGGUGUAAAGAACUGGCCCGUCUUCCAGCAGCGGUAUGACGGCCUUGGUUUUCGGGAUGCUAUGGGGAACCCACGUCGCCUUGCUCUUCUGUCUCCCUCGCCGUUGGCACCAGCCUCAUACCAUCCCAUCACCUGCUUAUUGCCAUUGCUACUAAUCACUCUCUACUCUUCUCUGGACCCGCUCUGAUUUAUUCUCCACUCAGCAGAAGGGGGGCUUUUAAAUUAAACUUCAAGUCUCAUCGUUUUAUUUCACUGUUGAAAAACCUUUAAUAACUUCUCAUUGUUCUUGGGGAAAAAGACCAACCCGGCCACUGAGGUUCCCGGGCCUUGCGCACUCGGGCCCCGCUGAGCUCCCAGCUGCCUCGCUCCUGACUCUCCUCCUCCUCCCUCUGGGCCACUCUGGACUUCGCGGACACCCCAUGGCUCCUCCUGCCUGGAUGGAGGCCUUGUAGCCAUGCCCUUCAGGCCAUUCUCAGUCUCUUCCCCCUAGAGCCCUGUCAAAUCCGAAAAAGAAAUUCUUCAUGAUUGUAUUAGGAUCUAUAAAGCUUGUCGUUAAUUACAGAAGAAUGAACAUACCGGCAAUGUUUACUCUUCUCACUCAGGAGUGGGGUUCUCCACUUAUUCAUACUUUCGUAUCACUUAGCAGAGUUCUAUAAUUUUCUUCUAAGAUCCAUUCAGUUCUUACUAGAAUUAUCCUUAGGUUUUGUUGCUCUUUGCGACUGGAGUCUUUCUUCCCAUGCAGAGCGGGAUGCGAUCCAGUUUCUUUGUUUUAUUGAAUCUAUGUUUCUAAAGCAGAGACGACACAGAGGAGAAAAGAGCAAGUCUUUCCACCUACAGUUACUUACAUGCACUCACCUGUUUAGGCGAUGAUUUAACGAUAACUGAUUGGCAUUUUCACUGGUCUUGAAUUCAGUACAAUUUCCCCUUGAUGUUACCACUAAUGUGCCAGGCAGUCCUAAUUUUAGUUUUCUUCUUGCUUGGGCAUUCUUAGGUACUCUAGUAAGAAUUUGCAAGAGUCACCUUGGGAACUCACCAAAUUUCAUUGUGUAGCAAAUGUUUUGUUCUCACGGCGUUUUCAAACAGGUCCCGGCUCUCCCAGAAUACUUUCAUGGCUAUGUGUAUUUUGCCAUAUUAUCCGCAGUGAUAUCUUGACCGAUUGUGCCAAACAUUUUCCUAAAACCAAGAAAUGCUCAUUCUGUGUUACUCCUCUGACCUCCCAGCUCAGUAAAAUGCUUUCAUAAAAGAUGAGGUUAGUCUGGCAUGAGUUAUUCCUGGUGAUUCCAUGUCUUCUAGAGUCAACACAUUCCUUUCAAAGUGUUCAUAAGACAUCUGCUUUAAAUUCAUUCUAUAAUUUAACCAAACAUUGACCGAAGUUAGUAGUCUGUAGUUUCUGGGGUUCACCCCUUUUCCUAACUUGUAACAUUUACUUGACAUUAACUUUUUGAUUCUUGUUGUACAUGAUUUUUUCUUUAACAAAUUACCAGUCGCAGUGUAAUCAGUGACUCCCUGAUUACAUAUUUGAAUUCCUCCAGCACCAGGGAGGAAACUUGGCUGCACCUGAAGACGUAAACUUACGGCGUGAAUUAAGGCUCCCUCUCCAUUUCCAGACAUUUGUUAUAUAGAUUGUGCUCCUCUGUUAGAAUCCAGGGACUCUCCAGAGAACCAGCAGCUGUGGGGAUGUUCUUGUCUUUACCAGGAAAACUGUCUUAAACCCGCACAGAAAAUAAAGUGUUUUCUGACUUGGAAUCAACAACGGCAUCCAGACUCAUGCAGGCGGGGUUCACUCUGGAUGCUCUUCCUGGCUUUGAAAUUUCUGAGCUUCAUCGCCUCCCUGUUUCCUCUUGCCAAAACUGCCCAUGCGCCAUGCCCAUUUUGAAUUUCCACCUCAGACUUCUGGAUUUAUGUCUUGUCCCUAAUGCUUGAAUGGGACCUGGCAUGAGGGCCUUAGACACAUGCCCCUGUCCUGCUGUAUCUGGAUGAGCCAUCCCACAGCCAGCUCUUAGGUCUCUAUGCCACACCCCCUCUGGCCUGCCCUGUCCUCACUGCCAGUAGGGGUUCCACUGUACUUUCUCUCCAUGGCGUCACUCUGGGCAGCAGGGGCCCCAGGUGUCUUUCCCAGGCUCCAUGAAUAUCAUGAAUUUGUCAAGCCAGCAUGCUCUGCAGACUGCAUGGCUCUACUACAUCCCAGGACUAAGGUACCAUUCCCCACCCACCUCCUCCCUGGUCAAUUCAGUUCUUGUCAGAAGAUGCUGUUUGGCUUCUUUGCACCACACAGACUGGACCUGGCCACAUGUUGAAAAUUAAUAAAUGUUUAUUGAAAUGAUUUAAGUAACAACGAUCUCUCUGCCUUCAUUUUGAGGAAAGCUCUGUAAGUUUUGCAGCUGCCCAUUUUCACAAACCAGGUGUAUUCUCCUGAAGCACAGGAGAUCCAUUUCGGCUCCAUUCAUGAUCAAUGCUGAGACACAGCUCUCU